rnacentral:tRNA from 1 species
UGGGAAUUAGUAUAAGUAUAGUAUAAUUGACUGUUAAUCAAAAGGUUUUAUUCCCAG